rnacentral:rRNA from 1 species
CGGUAACAGGUCUUCGGACGCUGACGAGUGGCGAACGGGUGAGUAAUACAUCGGAACGUGCCCAGUCGUGGGGGAUAACUACUCGAAAGAGUAGCUAAUACCGCAUACGAUCUGAGGAUGAAAGCGGGGGACCUUCGGGCCUCGCGCGAUUGGAGCGGCCGAUGGCAGAUUAGGUAGUUGGUGGGAUAAAAGCUUACCAAGCCGACGAUCUGUAGCUGGUCUGAGAGGACGACCAGCCACACUGGGACUGAGACACGGCCCAGACUCCUACGGGAGGCAGCAGUGGGGAAUUUUGGACAAUGGGCGAAAGCCUGAUCCAGCAAUGCCGCGUGCAGGAUGAAGGCCUUCGGGUUGUAAACUGCUUUUGUACGGAACGAAAAAGCUUCUCCUAAUACGAGAGGCCCAUGACGGUACCGUAAGAAUAAGCACCGGCUAACUACGUGCCAGCAGCCGCGGUAAUACGUAGGGUGCGAGCGUUAAUCGGAAUUACUGGGCGUAAAGCGUGCGCAGGCGGUUAGGUAAGACAGAUGUGAAAUCCCCGGGCUCAACCUGGGAACUGCAUUUGUGACUGCAUGGCUAGAGUACGGUAGAGGGGGAUGGAAUUCCGCGUGUAGCAGUGAAAUGCGUAGAUAUGCGGAGGAACACCGAUGGCGAAGG